CAGAGUUAACAUAAUUGUGGUGUUCAAGUUGUCCGUGAACCGGCCCUGGUGACUGAGUCUGUUCGCCUUCUGAUCCCGAGAUCGCUGGUUCGAACCCGGCCAAAAACACCAGCAACUUAGUGCCAGGAUACAGGUUGCUUGGACAUGCCAUCUUCCACAAGGGACAUUAAAUACGGCGUGUUGUGUGGUGAGCUUUCAUUGCGUGGGCAAUCCACAGACCGACUGCUGUGGCGUCGCUCAUGAUCUCAGUUGUCUCGCAAUGUAAACCCCAAUUGUUAUUAAGUCUUCCAUGCUGGUAUCUGUCCACAAGAGUCGUCACAAGAAGUCUAAAAAAUGUAGCCAAAUGCAGAAAGGGAACUGGAAUUAGGAGGGUCAUCCAAAAAUAAGUUUCCCCGAUAUUUGUUAUUCAAAGGAAACACCACUAGGACAAACUGAAUGGUGUAGUAGUUGGGUGUGACAUCCCGGCACUGCAGAUGUUGGUUAAUGGAGUGCCGUUCACCUAUGUGUCAGGCAUUCAAGCAUGGAUGUAAUAUUUCCGAGUACGUCUGACUAUCCUAGUAAGGAAGAGUUAUCCUAUUUUUUGUUAAAGAAAAAAAGAGUGCUUUAGAGAAUGUCCACUGACAGUUAACACCUGUUUAUACAAAACACUUUACAGGCAUUGAAAUGGUGUGUCCUCUAUAUAGGGUACUGAAAAUCUGCACAAUGAACAGUACAGUGGGAGAUCAGCUAUAACACCACGAAACGACGUUUCUUUUCUGAAAUUCCGAGAAUUGUUAACGGAGACUGGCGGGUCACUGGUACUGCACUCUGAUACUAAUGGGAACAAAUUUCCUUCAGCUUGGUCAACGAAAGUUAUGCGAGAUGGGGGCCACAUUUGCUCGGUAACGUUCGUAAAGAGCAACGAAUGAAUGCAGCUUGCAUUUUCCUUCAAUGGUAUCAAGACGGUCAAGAUGAAUUUCUUGGAACAAUUAUUAUUAAUGAAACGUGGGUGCAUUAUGCAAGUGCUGAGACAAAAUACCACAGGAAGUCAUGAUGGGUUCCCGGUGAAAGCAUUCUGAAGGAGGUCAAACUUGCGUUUUCGCCUGGAAAGGCUAUGCCGACAGUGUUUUAGGACUAUCGUUGUCUGCAACUUGUAGAUUACCUCACAUGCACAACCACAGUAAAUGCAAAGAUGUACUGCGAGAUCCUGGGAAAGCGUCAAACUACAGUGAAAGAAAAACGCACAGGACUUGGAAGGGUGUAGUACAACCACGUCAACGCUGUCUGCACUCGUCUUGAAAGACUCGGGAUUUGUUCCAGAAAUUCAUCUGGAAAUUUGCCAAAGAGAGAAAAAGUACACAAGCGAGCUGGUACAACGUUGAAGUAGGAAGCAUCACCUUGAGCAUGAGGAGAAUGAAGUAUACAGGAGACACACAAACGUGAGUUUCCUUUUCGUGAGCUUCCUGUAUCCUUCGUUCUCCUCGUGCUCAAGGUGAUGAUUCCUACUUAAAUGAAAAUUUGCCCAAUCUGCUGUUCCAUCUUCCUCUCAAAGCACCCCUCGGCAGUCACCAAUUCGCAAGUGAUCAUGAAACGCAAAUUGAUCAGGUGAAAUGCAAAGUGAAUGCCUCACUUUGUAAACAGGGCAUAGCAUGGCACAGACACCGUAUUGAAUACUUGGUAUCACAGUAUCAAAAAUGUUCAGCUAAAUAAGGUGACUAUAUUAAGGAGUAACGUUGAGCUCUAAUCUGUACAUAAAUUUUUUCAAUGUUGUGCUAUAGGUUUAUUAUUUUGUUCACAGCAGAGGAACUUUUGUUGGAUGAUCCUCAUACAUGAAGGAAAUUCCUUAUUUUCUUACUUUCCAUCACACGUGUGUGGAGCAAGUACAAUCUGUUUGCAAAUGAUCAUAGUAAGGUAAUAAAACUGGACUCUGCAACAACCUUCAGAAACUAUGCAUGAAUGGACCACAUUAACUUUGCCCUAUUAUAUUAUGACCAAAUGGAUAGUAUGUAUGCUAUGUGAGUUGUAUGCCCAUAUAUUGUAACAAAAGAUCGGUCAGAUGAAGGCAGUCUGACUGAGGUACGUAGAUAAUUUAAAUAAUGUCCAUACAUAUGAUGAUCCGAGUGUUUUUGGCUCACUGACAUGCAUAUACACUGACAGCAUCCACAACUAGAAGACAUUACCAGAAUCUAAGUGCUGUGAAGUAAUAUUUUAUUUUUCUGAAUGUAUAUCUUUUUUUCUUAACGAAAGCCCGCAUUUGUUCGGGGCAAUGUCUCUUGAACUAGCGUUCCUGAUGGCGUUACCGUUGCUGGUAAAUGUAAAUUUUGUACGUUAGCGACUCCCCUGCACAAUACUACGUUACACCAACUUAAAGAAAUCAGCAACUAAAUUAUUGAAUCACUGAAACGUCAAUAAAAAAGUCGACGACUCUGACGAAUCGUGCAGCGCAGCACUAUAAACCAUAGCUCCACAAACACAGAAGCACUUUGCACGUACUGUGGGCAGCAGAUAGCAGAUGUUUGUUUACUGCACAUAACAUUUUCCCACAAGCUACACAGCAGCAGUAAAAUGGAAUCUGACGUGACUCAGGGAUUUCAGGACACUUCAAAAAAUCUUGAAACUGCCCAUGGUAUCUCUUUGAAACCGCUGAACAGGCAAUGCGCUACAUAUUAGGCACACCUGUAGCUCAGUAGCAAAGGCACUGAUAAAAUGUUUGCAAAAAGAACAGCGAUUUUCAACACACACAUCACAAAAUACGACACUCGUCGCUGCAACAACGAUGGCGAUGGCAUGAUGAUGAUGAUGUUGGUGUCACUUCCGCUGGAUUGGCAUAUGUGUUAUUUAACAUUUAACCUCCACCACCCAAUUAUAAUGAACGGCCACGGAAAUUAAAGUAUUACAAAAAAUAAGUACUCAAAAAGCAUGAGCUAAAGCAAUGGCAAUGACGUCUGCCCGUCUACCCAAUCACCAUCCAUCAUCCAUCCAUCCAACCAGUUCGAACCAGUUCAGUUUCAACGGUUGAAACUUCAAACUUUCCGGACGCGCAACGGGUAGCAGCAGUAGCAGUUAGGGUCUUCGCGGCUGCAUUCCACUGGUUGUUAUACGAAAAUCUUUCGAAGUUCUAAUCUCCCGCGCGUUUUGUCUUGCAAUUUUUGAGCAUAGCGAGAACGUACGCCGUGCUGUCCAGUGAUAAAAGCUGUUGAGCGCAGCAGAGCUCGCAGAGUACUGCGGUGGACAACGUUUCUUUGUUCUCUGGCUUUCAAGUUUAAGGGGUGAGUUCACUCUUCAUUAAAGUAUGUGCCUGUUUCUGUACACCAAAUCGCAUGUAGUAGAUAUGCGUGGCAUAAUAUCGGAAUAUCGUUUCCUCUAUUUCGGCUUCGUAUCACCGAUUGAAGCAUAUUGGAAGUGUGGGUUGACCUGACUGCACUUGCAUUCAAAGUAGUGAUUAACGUUGUAUGCUCGGCAGUACAACGUUUCAUUAAGUGCCUUGGUUCGUCUUGGUGCUAAAACAAAUACGGUAUCACUAAUUAAUCAUCGAGAUUCACAAGUUUUCGAUGACUGUUGAAGUCUUGAGUAAACGAAAGUCGACAGUUACGGUUUGCAGGGCGGACAUGCCGGAACAUAAAUGCUGGUUAGUUCAUUGUCAUGUCAACCCGACUUCGGUUGUUGCAUUUUUCGCUGGUAGUGAAACUAUACACACUGAAAAUUUUGCGCAAGUACUUUUGUUUGCAUAUCAUGGUUUCAUAGCAACUGUAUUUUUCUCUUUAUAGGUGCUUGGACUAUCUUGCAUCGGUGGAUAUGAAAAUAGUGCUAACCUACCCUACGAAACAGCUAUUUGCACAUAAGCUUAACAGUUCCCUGUGAGAUGCUGUGAAAGUCAGCAGGGAAGUGCGAUGUAGAAGAAACGACUGCCAGAAGCUUGCUAAAGAACCGCACAACAUGUGUGAGCAGCAGACAAAAUAUUCAUCAAACGGUACAAAACUAGUAUUUUUGUGCUUUGUCGUUUUGAGACAUCCUUGGUAUUGUAUGGAGAACAGCGUGACUAUGUCAUUCCGUCUUACUUCACCCAAACAGCUAUCUGGUAGUAGUGCAAGAUUUGAGUUCCUAAAAGGUUUAUUCACUGAAGUCACCUCAGCGCCAUACUAUAGGUCCCUCAAUGUUUAGUCCUUGCAUUUGUUCGCUGCAUUAUGCUUUUUAGGUGACUAUUAACACCAAAAAAUAUGGAAAUUGCUUGGAUAUUCUACAAAUCACAGAGCAACAAGUUUUAAACACCAGAUAUGCGGUGAGUAUAAUAUGGGUAACAGCUUGACUGAAAUCUACAAUAGGGCCGAGAUCUACCAAGGCCGAUGGCAGCAAAUCUGCCUGCUAGCGACAGUGGCGGUCUCCUGCGGAUGACGUCAUGUGAAUAAACUUGUAUACUACUUGUACGUACUUAUAAUAUUUGACGUGGUGAUACAGGUUUUGCUUUGUAUUGUCUUUUAUAAUAUACACAGUGUUUAUUUUUAUCCUGUACAGAAUUUUUGCACCAAAGUUAUGAGAGCAGCACAGAUGUUGUUUUAGCGUAAUGCAGUGAUGGAAGUGCUGCGCCAAUCAUGGAGUGCUUAGCAGUCGCCUGCUCGACCAGCCACAGUGAGUCAUUGGAGGCAGUGCUGCAGCGCCAACAAUCACUCAUUGGAAGAAAGGAAUGAGGUGGCCAUCAACACCCUGCUGCCAGUUCAACACUCCUCAGUCAAAACACAAGACGCCUGCUUGGCGGCAAAGUCAAUCCAGUUUUAGACAGAGUUUUGUACCGUAGACUUCGUGUGUGGUUUACUGCAAAUAAAUGUUUAUGCUGAGAUCCGUGUUGCUAUCAAUUAUAUCACAUUUCUGCAUGAAUGCAUGCCAAGACGGUAGCAGGACUAGUC